UAGGGAAUCUUCCACAAUGGGCGCAAGCCUGAUGGAGCAACGCCGCGUGAGUGAAGAAGGUCUUCGGAUCGUAAAACUCUGUUGUUAGAGAAGAACAUGCAGGAGAGUAACUGUUCUUGUAUUGGCGGUAUCUAACCAGAAAGCCACGGCUAACUACGUGCCAG
rnacentral:rRNA from 1 species